rnacentral:lncRNA from 1 species
AUGCUAGGCGAGAUGCCAGGGAGAUGUUUGUGAGAAUGGCUAUGGUUAGAAUUGAUUUAUUUCAAUUCUGUUGUAAAUAGAUUUAUUUAUUGGUUAUCAGUUAUUCUUCUUAUCGAAGUUUAGCUGAUAAUGUCGUUUAAGCUGUGAUGAGAUUUAAGGUUUUGGUUUCUGAUUUCAAUGCUGUAACCUAUUAGCGAUCCUGUUUUUAGGGGGUCAAAGUGAUUUUGAUUUUAAUCUCUUUUAAAAUGUCCAGAUAUUUUAUAUAUCUGCUUUACCUUUUUCCGCAAAUACAAGUUUUUAAAUGAUUUUAUUUUAGUGGCACCAAAUCCAGACCUCCGGAUUUUGGGGCUGUCACAGUUGGUAUCAGAGCUAUAGGUUAUAAGUUAUUGAAAUCAUAAUGUAGAUUGUGAUUAGAGAGAGUGUUUCUUGGAACCUCAUAUAGAGGUAAGUCAAGACUAUUUGGUAUAGUCUUUGUUGAUGGAACUGAGGUAGAUGAGUAUUGAUUCUGAGCAAUCAUUUGAGAUAUCCUAGCUUCCAGUUUGAGAACUAGUGAGUUUGGAUCUCUGGAGAAACAUGAUAGAAUACCUUUAGUUCUGACCUUUUUGAGCUUGAAGUUGACUUCUGAGUAACCAUUGUCAGCUAGACUCGUGGAUAAACCUGUCUAGCUGGUCUGGAAUGUUCCUUACUAUCUUUACCACUUCUAGAAUAUUGGGUAGAAGUUAAUCCAUUAUUUUUAUAGAAUGAUAGAAGGAGUAUGAGAUCGGUGGAUCAAUGUGAGAAGCCAGGUGUAUAGUUCUUGAUUUGAGAAUUAUAUAGAAAUAGUGUUAGACUACUCGAUAUAGUAUUAUGAGUAGGUUAGAACGUCAACGCUCUACAAUGCUGAUUGUAUAAAGCUGGAUAUGACUUCUGAUAGUACCAAGCUCGACAAGACUUCUACCUAACGUGGAUGUUGGUGAUGAGAUUUACGAAGGCGAAUACGUGUUAACGAUAAUAUUGAUCAUAGAAUCAAAACGAAUCAUGAGAAGAAUCGAUCGAGAAGACAUCUGUGAUAGUCUUGGCAAUACCUUCCUCAUUAUUGAUUCCAUUGAGUAUUUUCACAGUCAGUGAACUGUUUUAACAUCUCUUUUAUAGAGACAUUCAUGAAGAAUAUAUAUUCCUUUCUAAGAGUAUAUUCAUUAAAGAAUAUACUUCUCUCUAAAAGUAUAUUUCUCUCUCCAGAAAUUAUAAGGAUGCUAAUGCCUAUUGCAUUACUUUGUAUAAUCCUUUUUGUCGAAAUUUUUAUCUUUUGAAUCUAUCCAAUUUUAAACCUAAGGUUCAUAACAAAGAUUCAUUUCUCAAAACUCAAUCAUUGUUGGUCGAUUUUGAAAUUUUCUCAUAUUUUCAACUCUAACUGAGAUGAACAACCCUACUUAUAGGGGACACAAGGACUCUCUGUCUGUGUGAUAGAAGUUUGAUGGGACGCCAUCACUUGUGUGUUGUGCAUUACAAGAAGGCUAAUUACCUUUAGUAGUAUCUUCGAUUAGAUACGCAACAUAGUUCUCUAGAUCAUAUUGAUCUCUCAGCAUUUCUUUAUUUCAUAUCAGUUUGCUUUCGAAAUUCGUACCUAUGGCAUUUGCUUUGAUAUCUUAAAUCUGAUUUAUUUUAAGAUUCGACGAUUCUUAUUUGUCAAUCAAUUAUGAGGGUAUGCCAGUCAAGUUCAAACGAGCUAAUACUACCCGUACACUUCAAGAUUUCGUAUACAAAAGCAGAUCACGAUGCGACUUAUAAGAAAACGUAUGCUCUUGUUCUUUCUUCGCGGAUUCCGAGGACGGAAUCCUGAUAAGGGGGGAAGUUUGUGACGACUAGGAAAAUUCUAUUAUUAAUUAUUAAUUUGUUAUUAAAUUUUUAAUGAGCAGGAAUAAUAUUUUAUAUUUUAUUCCAAGUUUUGGAUUUUCAAAAACAAUUUUGGGAGUUGGUGCAACUAUGUGAGUAUUUGAUUUAAUUAUGUUACGUAUUAAAUGUGCAGUUUUGAUAUUUCAUUUUGUGUGAGUGUUUAAAUUAGAACUUCAGUUAUUUUAUUGUUUUUGAUAAAUCACAAUUGUUUCUCAGUUUUAAAAAUCUAAACUUUGUUUUAUUUGAGCCCAAAAGAUUUUAUCUGAUUUAAAUUACCAAAUAUUCAAAAUUUGGUAUUUUUUGUAUUUCUGUCGGAUUCAAAAAUAUUUGAAAAGUGUGCAAAUGAUUAUUUUAAUUGUUGUAAUUUAAAAAUGAUUUUUGAGCUUUAAUUGCAAAAAUAGAGAAAGAUUUUAAAAAUAUUAUUUUUGCAAAUAUUGUGUAUUCGGGAUUACUAGAAUUUACAGGAAGUUUUAUUUUUAUAUUUGGGUGAUAUUUUUGGACCUCCAAAUUGUUGAAAUAGCUCUUAAUUUAAAUUGGGGGUAUGAGUUUUAGUAAAUAUAAAUAGUUUUCUAAAAAUCUUUUUAAUGUAUACUGAUCAGUUAUACAGCAGCGUGUAAACAGUUUUGGGGUAGAGGCGGCUAAAUUAGGGUUUUGGAUUUCAUUCCUUCAAUUGGAUUCAAGCUCUAAUCAGGUGAGUGAGUUGAUUGUGUGUUUAACUGUGUGUAUACAUAUCUCUGUGUGUUGUGGAUUGUUUUGGCGGCUGUCGGAGGAAUCGCGGCGACAGGGUUUCCGCCGGAGUGGUUCGGGCGGCGGUUUGACGUCGCUGGCUGACGAAGAAGGGUAGGAGAGAGACCGAGUUGAAGGCGGCUCUGCCGCGAAAAAGAUAUAGCAGGUGAGUGGAGAAACUGCAGAGAGUGGGUCGAGAAGAGGAGAAACAGCGGUGGAUGGGUGGCUGAUGAUGGCGGUGCCAAGGGUUUGACGGCGGCGGCGCGGUGGCGCGGUGUUCAGGCUGAGGGAGGAGAUUGUGAAACAGGGGUUUGAAGGGUUGGGACAGGGGAGAGUUGCAGAAGAAGGAUAGAGAGAGAAAGAAAGGCUGAAAGAGAGAGAAAAGGAGGGGGAAAUGAGAGGUUGGCAGUGGUGGUGUCCUGACGGAGGUCUGGCCAGUGUGGUUGUUUGUGCAGCUGACUAUUAAACGGCGGUGCUAGCAGCUCAGCCGCAGUUGUGGUGGCGAGAUCACCGGAGAGGAUGAAGAUCAGAGGUGGCUUUGCUAAGAGGUGUAUGUAUUUGUAUAUGUUGUUGGGGUGUUUAACUCGGCAGAGAUUGAGGCUGUGAGUUUUGAAAUGUGUAGGAAUAACUUGUGAAUCAGCGUUGAGUCUGGUGAAUGUUGUGAGCCUAUGAUCAAUCGAAGGGGAAAUUUUCAGGACCGGCCAGUGAGGGGUCAGGGUGCUGCUGUGCCGGGUGACAACAAGUUGGGUUGAAAUUUGAGUAAAGGAAGUUGUUGCAGGUAAGAUGGUGGGCUGAGAUUGAUGAGCAGGGGGGAUAUUCCUAUAAAGGAAAAAGAUAAGUGAGUAAUGGAAUGCAGGGGAGAGUAUAAUGGAUGCCCCUGGUGCUGGUUUUUGGGCUGCUGGCUGAGUGAUAACUAUAGUCCGAUGGUUGUGGGGAUUUGUGGUUGAGGGCAAUAAGAGGGUGCUGAUUGAGGGAUGAGGCAGGAGAAUUGGUGUGGUUGAUAGACAUGUAUUCUGGUAGGGGUGGAGAAUGGUUGCAGAGCAAUUUCAGAAGAUAAAAAUGGAAUGAAUACUAGUUAAUUAUGGAUUAUGUAAUUGUUAUUAUUGAUAUUGUUAUUAUUAUUAUUAUCAAUUCUUUGAUAAUAAUAAUGAUAAUUAAUAAUUCUAAUAACGUUAAUAAUCAAUAAUUGAUUAUCUUGAAUUCUAUUUUUAUUCCGAUUAUUUGUGAAUAAAGGUAGCUGGUUGAGUUUGAAUUGUCUGGAGUAUAAUUUUAUCUAAAUUUGGGAUUGUGUUGGAUAAAUGCUUCGUGCUUUAUAAUAAGUUGAAUUCGAGUAUAUGCAAUGUUCAAGGACCUUAUAUCUACAAUAUAGAUUCAAAUAUUCGAACAGUGGAAUGUGAUUGGAAUUACAAAUUGUAUUAUUAUUAUUAAAAUAAUACGUGUUUCGAUAUUGUGAUGAAUAUUUAUAUUACUUGGACAGAGAUUAUUGUGUUGUUGAUUUGGGGUUUGCUCGAUUUUAAAAGGAUGUGCUGUCCAAAAUUUAUUAUUUUAUUCUGAUUAUAUUUCGAGUGGAAUUGAGAUNAUGAUCAUUGUAAUCAAAUUUCUGGACUUUAUGUUAUUAGAAUCUUGUGACGAUUGCUAUGAGUUUUAUUAAAAUUCCGGAAAUUACUAUUGAUUCUCAAUUGUCGGACUAAGCUAUAUAAGCUUACAUUUUGAGGAGUAAUUAUAUUAUUUGGACAGGGAUUGUUCUGUUAUUAAUUUGUGGCUUGCUCAAAUUUAAAAUUAAUGUAUGCUGUCCAAAAUUAUAGUAUUUUAUUAAUUUAGUUUGAUGAGAUUUCGAGCUGAUUUGAGAUGUGAUUGAAUUACAAUUGGACUUGUAAUUCGGAUGACUUGAUUUCUGUUGUGAUAAAUUGGAGUUGGAUUUAUAUCCAGGGGAUAUUACUACCGUAAUUGAUUGUUUGUAUAUAAUCAGAUAUAAGAUUAUAUAAAAGAUUUAUUUGACUAUUUAUAUAUUUAAAUAUUAAAGCAUGCAAAUUCUCUUUUAUGUGCUGAUGUGACUAAUUGCAAUACUAUGUGUAUAUAUUAAUUGUAUAAAAUAUAUUUAUAUGACGAAGGGUAGUAAUAUAAUUUUGAUUCUGCGAAUUGAUGACUUUCUGGAUUGCUCUCAACUGAAAUAUUAUACUGCUUUGAUAUAUAGUCUCUCGAGUCGCGUGCAUCAACGAUUGUCAGAAGCAAACAAAUAGCGUGGCAAGGCAAAUCAGAAAUAUUUUGAUAAGGCGAUAUUGUGCCGUAAGAUAGUCCAAUAGAUUAGUCAUUUCAGAAUUAGCGAUUGAGGCCAAUCUAGGAAUCUCGAGUAGGUGACUGUGUGUCACCUGUUUAUGUCAAAGGCAAGUAUCCCUAUCUUCACUUAUUGUUCAAGUGAUAUUUUCUUUAAACCCUUAUGCAAGUAAUUCUAUUCUCUAACAUGUAUUUACUACAAGUAUUCCUAUUCUUCUCUUUUAUUUAAAGAGCAACUAUUUCAAUUCCUCUUUUCAUAAAGCAAGUUUGCAAUUAUGACUUGUACUUCCUGCAAGCAUGUUUCUGAUAUUUAAAAGUACUAAUGCUUCAAUCUUGUCUUGUGAUUUAAAAUAUCGAAUAUCUUUAGUUCGAUACUUUUUACUAUUAUAUGAACAGUGACAACUUUCUUUGAAAAGUAUUCUGAUUAUUUUAAUCAGUUUUCUGGAAAUUAUUGUCUGAGUCCUUUUCCAGUUUGAAAACUAUUAAUGACUCCAUAGCAGUCAUAUUUCGAUACUACAAUAUAUGCCUGGUCUUCUGUCCCAGACAUAAACCCUGGAAUUUUAAAUAGCGAAAAUAGUUGUUUUAAUUCCUUUGAGCCGCAUUGAGGUGGAUUUUAAAACUGUACUCAGACUUUAAUGAAAUUGAUUUUGACAGUAUUUUAAAACUGAAAAUGAAAGAGUUUUCAGAAAGGUUUUGAAAAAGAUGAUUGUAUGGCGUAAGGGGCUAGUGAUUAGUCCAGCCAGAGAGGCCAGCAAAAUUAUUUUGUUUUGAUUGGAUGAAUGCGUAAGAGGCCGUGGCGGCGGUCCAGCGAAGGGAUAGGUAUUAUAUGAAAUAUAUAUAUAUAUAAUGCCAGAUUUGCCAAAGGCCAAUGUGUUGCCUUCUAUUCGGUACCUAUUGUUUGGAUCUACUUCUACGAAGCAUGAUUCGGUGCUAUCACAGGAUGUCCUGAUCAGCUGUGUUAGUGCGCCGUCAGUUGAGGAUUCCAAUCCAAAAACUGGUCAUUUAUUGUUUAAGCUUAUGAUAGCUUAUGUUUACUGUCAAAUAUAUCUUGUGAAUUUUCAAGCAUAUUGAUUUAUAUGUUUGAUAAACUUUUGAGUUACAAAUGUUAUGAUUUACUUCAAAAGUUUGCUCUAUUUCAAAUACUCUGAUUUAAUUCAAAAGAAUUUAUAUCUUGUGGCUCUUGCCUUUCCUAUUAUCUUGCUGAGCAUUUUUGCUCACUCUUGCUAUUGUUUCUAACCCUUUCAGCUAGGGAUUAAGAAGAUUCGAUUGUUGAGCUGCGCGUAAGAAUAAUGCUAGGCGAGAUGCCAGGGAGAUGUUUGUGAGAAUGGCUAUGGUUAGAAUUGAUUUAUUUCAAUUCUGUUGUAAAUAGAUUUAUUUAUUGGUUAUCAGUUAUUCUUCUUAUCGAAGUUUAGCUGAUAAUGUCGUUUAAGCUGUGAUGAGAUUUAAGGUUUUGGUUUCUGAUUUCAAUGCUGUAACCUAUUAGCGAUCCUGUUUUUAGGGGGUCAAAGUGAUUUUGAUUUUAAUCUCUUUUAAAAUGUCCAGAUAUUUUAUAUAUCUGCUUUACCUUUUUCCGCAAAUACAAGUUUUUAAAUGAUUUUAUUUUAGUGGCA